AUUGAACGCUGGCGGCAGGCCUAACACAUGCAAGUCGAGCGAGCGGCGGACGGGUGAGUAAUGUCUGGGAAACUGUCUGAUGGAGGGGGAUAACUACUGGAAACGGUAGCUAAUACCGCAUACCAUCAGAUGUGCCCAGAUGGGAUUAGCUAGUAGGUGGGGUAACGGCUCACCUAGGCGACGAUCCCUAGAUGGUCUGAGAGGUUGACCAGCCACACUGGAACUGAGACACGGUCCAGACUCCGACGGGAGGCAGCAGUGGGGAAUAUUGCACAAUGGGCGCAAGCCUGAUACAGCCAUGCCGCGUGUGUGAAGAAGGCCGUCGGGUUGUAAAGCACUUUCAGCGGGGAGGCGUUACCCACAGAGGAAGCAACGGCUAACUCCGUGCCAGCAGCCGCGGUAAUUC
rnacentral:rRNA from 1 species